rnacentral:rRNA from 1 species
GACGAACGCUGGCGGCGUGCUUAACACAUGCAAGUCGAACGGGAUUUAGUAAACAGAAGCCUCGGUGGAAGAUUACUAAUGAGAGUGGCGAACGGGUGAGUAACGCGUGAGCAACCUGCCUAUGACAGUGGGAUAGCCUCGGGAAACCGGGAUUAAUACCACAUAAAAUCGUAGAAACACAUGUUUUAACGGUCAAAGAUUUAUCGGUCAUAGAUGGGCUCGCGUCUGAUUAGCUAGUUGGUGAGAUAACAGCCCACCAAGGCGACGAUCAGUAGCCGGUCUGAGAGGAUGAACGGCCACAUUGGAACUGAGACACGGUCCAAACUCCUACGGGAGGCAGCAGUGGGGAAUAUUGCACAAUGGGGGAAACCCUGAUGCAGCGACGCCGCGUGAACGAAGAAGGUAUUCGUAUCGUAAAGUUCUGUCCUAUGGGAAGAUAAUGACAGUACCAUAGAAGAAAGCUCCGGCUAAAUACGUG